CAGUAGCCGCGUGAAUACGUAGGGUGCAAGCGUUAAUCGGAAUUACUGGGCGUAAAGCGUGCGCAGGCGGUUUGUUAAGACAGAUGUGAAAUCCCCGGGCUCAACCUGGGAACUGCAUUUGUGACUGGCAAGCUAGAGUGUGGCAGAGGGGGGUGGAAUUCCGCGUGUAGCGGUGAAAUGCGUAGAUAUGUGGAGGAACACCGAUGGCGAAGGCAAUCCCCUGGGCCUGUACUGACGCUCAUGCACGAAAGCGUGGGGAGCAAACAGGAUUAGAUACCCGGGUAGUCCCUGUCUCUUAUAC
rnacentral:rRNA from 1 species